rnacentral:rRNA from 1 species
GUCCAAGAGAGAUAUGGAAAGCGGCGGACGGGUGCGUAACGCGUAGGUAAUCUGCCCAUAUCAUCGGGAUAACACAACGAAAGAUGUGCUAAUACCGAAUAACAUACAAGUGCGGCAUCGCAAAUGUAUCAAAGUCAAAGCGGAUAUGGAUGAGCCUGCGUCUGAUUAGCUAGUUGGUAGGGUAAAGGCCUACCAAGGCAACGAUCAGUAGCCGACCUGAGAGGGUGAUCGGCCACACUGGAACUGAGACACGGUCCAGACCCCUACGGGAGGCGGCAGUGGGGAAUAUUGCACAAUGGGCGCAAGCCUGAUGCAGCAACGCCGCGUGAACGAAGAAGGCCUUCGGGUCGUAAAGUUCUGUCGCAUGGGAAGAUAAUGACGGUACCAUGUGAGAAAGCCCCGGCUAACUACGUGCCAGCAGCCGCGGUAAUACGUAGGGGGCAAGCGUUAUCCGGAAUUACUGGGCGUAAAGGGUGCGUAGGUGGUCUGACAAGUCAGAGGUGAAAGGCAACGGCUCAACCGUUGUGAGCCUUUGAAACUGUUGGACUUGAGUUCUGGAGGGGAAGUCGGAAUUCCUAGUGUAGCGGUGAAAUGCGUAGAUAUUAGGAGGAACACCGGUGGCGAAGGCGGACUUCUGGACAGAUACUGACACUGAGGCACGAAAGCGUGG